rnacentral:lncRNA from 1 species
CACGAGGCAUUUUAUCAAAGGUCUGACGUCAGUAAGUGGCAGAAUAAUAAUUCGAACCAGAGGAUCUAUGUCUAGAACCCACAUUCUGAAACAAGAUACUUUAUUUCUUCUGUGUGUACUUUUUAUAACAUAACAUAUUGUAUAUUACCAUGUAAUAAGAAUAUGUAUCCAUGUAUAUGUACAUAGGUAUGUCUGUAUUUACAGAGGUGUCUGUGUAUAUAUUUCUCCCAAGGUUCUAGAAUGCAUGCUUAGGAUUCAUUACAGGAAAUACUCUAAAUUUGCUUCCUCAAUAGUGCUUCCUGAGAUUCACUGAUUCACAGAUUAAUUCAGCAAGUGUGUACGGACGCUGCACUAGAGACGAGGCAUGUGCGGACCCUGGCGAGGUCAGACACCGGAGACAAGGGUCUUACUUGGGAGCGCCAAUCAGGUCCAUGGGAAGUUGCGGCAGGAAGGCUGGCAUCCUGCAGGCACAGCUACUAACUGUCUGCUGCUUUCUCCUUGUUGUAGGACUGAGGAGUAGAGACAGAUGUGAAAUUUCAAAGAAGUACUGAUGAUAAUCCGGAGUCGUCCUCCAGGCUGGGUGCUACGCAUCUUGGAUUUCUCAUCUCAUCAUCUCACACCAGUCGCUGGGGUGGGAGCACCUCUGCUCCCCAGAAGACAACUCUGGAGAUGCUCCCGCUGACCUCCUCCUCUGACCUCACAGUCGGGGCCCCCGGGGUCUAUGCAAACUCUGGCCUUUGUUGUUGUUGCCAUUUUACCGCAUUUCUCAUGACUGUCAGUUUCUCUCAAGGCUUUGAAUUGUGAAAUUUGGUCCCUGGAUUCAAACAAUAGUAUUUUCAUUGGUUCCUUGGCGAUACUUUUUGUAGUUUACUUUAUCUUUUUUAGAUUCAGAAGGCUUCACCGACUGUUUUCUAAAUACCCUAUAUCUUGUCUACAUAACUCUAUGUAGUUACUGCCUCCUGAACAGAGUCUCUGUACCACAGAAAUCUCCUUUUUAACUAAAUAAAAAAGGGCACAGCCUUGGCA